rnacentral:rRNA from 1 species
UACGUAGGGGGCAAGCGUUGUCCGGAUUUAUUGGGCGUAAAGAGCGUGUAGGCGGCUGGGUAGGUCCGUUGUGAAAACUCGAGGCUCAACCUCGAGACGCCGAUGGAAACCCUCCAGCUAGAGUCCGGAAGAGGAGAGUGGAAUUCCUGGUGUAGCGGUGAAAUGCGCAGAUAUCAGGAAGAACACCUAUGGCGAAGGCAGCUCUCUGGGACGGUACUGACGCUGAGACGCGAAAGCGUGGGGAGCGAACAGG